rnacentral:rRNA from 1 species
AGUGAACGCUGGCGGUAGGCCUAACACAUGCAAGUCGAAUGGCAGCACAGUAAGAGCUUGCUCUUACGGGUGGCGAGUGGCGGACGGGUGAGGAAUACAUCGGAAUCUACUUUUUCGUGGGGGAUAACGUAGGGAAACUUACGCUAAUACCGCAUACGACCUACGGGUGAAAGCAGGGGAUCUUCGGACCUUGCGCGAUUGAAUGAGCCGAUGUCGGAUUAGCUAGUUGGCGGGGUAAAGGCCCACCAAGGCGACGAUCCGUAGCUGGUCUGAGAGGAUGAUCAGCCACACUGGAACUGAGACACGGUCCAGACUCCUACGGGAGGCAGCAGUGGGGAAUAUUGGACAAUGGGCGCAAGCCUGAUCCAGCCAUACCGCGUGGGUGAAGAAGGCCUUCGGGUUGUAAAGCCCUUUUGUUGGGAAAGAAAAGCAGCAGGUUAAUACCCCGCUGUUAUGACGGUACCCAAAGAAUAAGCACCGGCUAACUUCGUG